GCUGGGUAUGGUGGUGGUGCAUGCCUGUAAUCCUAGCCACUAGGGAGGCUGAGGCAGGAGGGUUGCAAAUUCAAGAGCAGCCUUAGUUACUUAGCAAGGCCUUAAACAAAUUAGUGAGACUCUGUCUCAA
rnacentral:sRNA from 1 species